rnacentral:rRNA from 1 species
CCUACGGGCGGCAGCAGUCGAGAAUCAUUCACAAUGGGGGAAACCCUGAUGGUGCGACGCCGCGUGGGGGAAUGAAGGUCUUCGGAUUGUAAACCCCUGUCAUGUGGGAGCAAAUUAAAAAGAUAGUACCACAAGAGGAAGAGACGGCUAAAUCUGUGCCAGCAGCCGCGGUAAUCAAGAGGUCUAAAGCGUUGUUCGGAAUCACUGGGCGUAAAGCGUGCGUAGGCUGUUUCGUAAGUCGUGUGUGAAAGGCGCGGGCUCAACCCGCGGACGGAACAUGAUACUGCGAGACUAGAGUAAUGGAGGGGGAAGCGGAAUUCUCGGUGUAGCAGUGAAAUGCGUAGAUAUCGAGAGGAACACUCGUGGCGAAGGCGGGUUCCUGGACAUUAACUGACGCUGAGGCACGAAGGCCAGGGGAGCGAAAGGGAUUAGAUACCCGUGUAGUC